GUUAGACCAGGGAACAGUGGGACUCCAGACAAGAUGUCAGUUAGACCAGGGAACAGUGGGACUCCAGACACCAUGUCAGUUAGACCAGGAAACAUCGAGACUCAAGAUAAGAUGUCAGUUAGACCAGGGAACAGCUAGACUCCAGACACCAUGUCAGUUAGACCAGGGAACAGUGGGACUCCAGACAAGAUGUCAGUUAGACCAGGGAACAGUGGGACUCCAAACAAAAUGUCACUUAGACCAGGAAACAUCGAGACUCAAGAUAAGAUGUCAGUUAGACCAGGAAACAGUGGGACUCCAGACACCAUGUCAGUUAGACCAGGAAACAUCGAGACUCAAGA